rnacentral:tRNA from 1 species
CAGGGAGACAACAAAAUGUUUAAUAUUAUUAUUUUGUCACCUUAGGUCGAUCGGUAUCUCACGUUCUUAAUUAAUUAAGAAUUUCAUUUCCUAAGUUUUUCUAGGUCACACCCAUUAUUUUUCCUGGGCCAUUAGCUCAGGUGGUUAGAGCGCACCCCUGAUAAGGGUGAGGUCCCUGGUUCAAGUCCAGGAUGGCCCAUAUCUCUAUGUUGGGGGUAUAGCUCAGUUGGUAGAGCGCCUGCUUUGCAAGCAGGAUGUCAGCGGUUCGAGUCCGCUUACCUCCACUGAUUACCACCUCUUCCAUAAUCUGUAGAAAGGAAAAAUUUUGAGUUGUGAUCAUAAUUCUGAACGAAUCUAGCUUCCUAAUGAAACCAUUAAGAUGCUGGACUCAUUGAAUUAAUUUCAUUGUUUUCAGAGAACCUUGACAACUGCAUAGAUUAUUUUUAAAGACAAUAAGCAUCUUUAUGAUGCAGAUUUAUUAUUUGUGCGAAUGCAUUAAUAACAAUUCUAUUAAGCUGAUGCUUCAAUUUUGAAGUUAUU